AGAAAUUAUUACUCCACGCCUUUCAGAGCAUCAUUAUGGGUGUUAGAUGUUUAGGCAGGCAUUUUAAGAUAUACAUGCUCAGAUGCUGUCGAUAAAUAUGUAAGUUGGCUCUUUUUUGUAUGAUAAGUCUUUAUCAAUAAACAAUAAACAAGAAUAACCCGUAAUAUGUCUCGUAUUCAGUAUGAAGUGACACUUUAAAGUACACUACUUGUUCCUUUAAUUUCCCAAACAGUAAUUUUUAGGCAAAGUAUCGGUAUCUGAUCUGUAUCACCGAUACUCGCCUUGAUUUUACUUGGUAUUGGAUCGGAAAUCAGUAGUAUCGCGCAUCACUAGCGCAAACAGUAUUGAUCUUGUAACAUUUAAUGUGAUUAAGUUACAAACUUGCCACGUUAAAUCUACAUGCAGUCUGUUAAUGAUUGACCCCUCCUACGUCAGUACGGGCAUGGCCCCGCCCUUUAUGGCAACUGUUCAUUGAAAGACAGUGCCAUGGGGAUGGACCAAACCAGGUCACCUAAAAACACCCUGCAACAAAGAAACUUUGCUUUUGCAUUAGCUGGCUUGCGCAUGCUAUUGCUUUCUGCCCCUGUUCACCUGCUCGGACACCGCUCCGCCACGCUAUUGGGUCACCACAAAUUCUCUAUGUAAAUUAAGUUUCAGGACCGCCGAAACUGCAUGAACUUCCACAAACCGACUCUCAUCAGUCCGUCAACUCGGUAAACGACAGCCGACCACGAGCGAAUCCCAAGGACGUCACCGAAGCCACAAGCCAAUCUGGAGCACCGUGUUUCCCCAAGGCCAGCCGGUGAGGGAAAUUUAGGACUUCCAGCAAAUAGACACAAGUAACACAAACUAAUGUUGUCUCUUGCUGAUCUAGUGCAGAUUGAUCUUAAGCAGUUAAAGAAAAGCCACAUCUCUGCUUUUGUGGUUUCUCAGGUGUGAUUCUAAGAUCUUCUUAGAAGUAUUAGAAUUAAUUUGGGACGUUGUCAACUCAUUUUGCAUCCUCUAAACUGUAUAACUGUACGGUCCUUUCUAAAAUGCAUUAAAAGUCAUAAUAGUUUGCACGGAUGUGAGCAGUGCAUUGCAGUAGCACAAAUGGUGGAGGGAAAGGCAGUGUAUUUAACAUACGGUCCUUCAGAACAAAGAGAAGAUGAGGUGUUCAACCAAGCUGGAUAACCUCACCAUCAAAAGCAAGUAUGGCCUCUGGUAAGACCUGGUAUUUUAUGUUUCAAACAGGUUCCACUUGACUACAUGCACCUUGUUUGCCUUGAAGCUACGAAAAGACUUCUUACAUAUUUGUGGUGUGGCCCUCAGAUCUGUCGACUGAGUAUUCUAAGAAAUUAGAAAUGAACAUCAGUCAUUUUGAAGGGUGCUUUGCCCGCUGAGUUUUCAAGGCAGCCAAGAGGCAUGGCAGAAUUAGACAGGUGGAAAGAUACUGAGCUACGUCAGUUCAUGCUUUACACAGGACCGAUAAUCCUAAAGGAAGCACUUACUAAAGACCAGUGCCAUCGCUUUCUUUGUCUAAGUGUUGGCAUGAACAUUUUUUUUGGAAGACAUGGAUGGGAAGAGAGAAUGUUAUCUAGGAUAUGCAGGUGACAUUUUGGAGCACUUUUUGGAUACAUCAGUGGAUUUCUAUGGACCCACCUUACCACCAUACAACAACCAUUCCAUCAAACACUUGGCUGAUGACUUAGCUAACUUUCGCAGCUCCUUAACCCACAUAUCUUGUUUUACAUUUGAGAACCACCUGCAGGUUAUUAAAAAAAAAAAAAAAAAAAAAAAAAAAAACUUGUGAGAAGUGGAAAACAACCACUGGUGCAAGUCACAAAAAGACUUGCAGAAAGAGAGUCUACUGAAAUGCAUGCAAGACAAUUACUAAGAAAAACAAAGAUCACAUCAAAGAUGUCAGACAACUGUGUGCUACUCAUGGAUAAUGUAGUGGGAUUUAUCAGAGAAAAAAAAGUGAUGGAACACUAAGGAUUGAUAUGCUCUGAGAAACAGACUGUGAUAGUGUGUUUGAAAAGUCAUGCAAUUCGAAGCUGUUCAACAUUAUGUUCGUCAGUCGUGACUUGAAAAUGGCAAGAAGUAUAAUUCUGAGAAGCAGAAAGAAUGUCUACAGAAAGGCAUUGUGUCUCCCUUACAAACAUGAAUUUGCAAUAUUCCCUCAGCUACAAGUACUCAAAUUCAACUCAAACCAUCUAACACCAAAUGUGUCUUUGCCGGAUCGUCUGACAAAAUUUAAAGAUCUACAGCCCAAGACAGGAAAACUGCUCAAUUUCUAAGUAUACUUUUUCAAUUAAACUGCCUUUCUGUUUCUGCUUUUGGUGAUUAUUUAAAUGGUUAAAAAGUUACUCUAUAUGUACAGCUGACGUUCAAGAAAGUCAACUUUGAAGCUUUUCCCCGUCAAGCUCAGCCACAGAAGCUCUCUCCCAGGAAGAAGAACCCAACGACCAGCCCCUAGCCAGAGGACUGCCUCACCAGCAGAACCCUCCCCCUUCGGCAUCUUCGCCGAAGAUCUCCUUGAGGCAGUCCGGGGGCUUGGGUUCAGUGAGACCAACCUCAUCCACAUCUUUCUGGCUGGAUUGGAUGAACCAUUCGAUUGGGAGCUGGGUAAAAUUGAGACAUGGACUUGAGGGGAGGUGGUGGAGUAUUCCUACCUGAGGAAGGAGAGGAAGAUCCUGGAGGGGAAAUGGACCCCUUUCACCACCAAAAGCACCAUCUCCCAGCCCAUGACCAACCCCCAAGGGUUAACCUGCACCCAAAAGCGGAGGCUGAAGAGAAAGGCUUCUUCAGUGAGGGUUGCUCCAGCCCCAGAGCGCCCUCCAGUGUCGGCUUCAGUCCAGUCGCCUCCAGCCCUGCCAGCUCGUUACAGUGCUCCAGUCCAGCCGGCUUCAGUCUAGUCGCCUCCAGUUCAGCCGUCUUCAGUCCAGUCGCCUCCAGCUCUGCCGACUCCCCAAAGACCUCCAGACCAGCCGGCUUUAGUCCAGUUGCCUCCAGCCCUCCAGCGAGGCAUCUGGGAGGUGCCGGCAGGGCGGGACUACUGGGUGUUGCCAGCAGGGCAAGGCGUCUGGGAGGUGCCGGACUUCGCAUACGCUACUGACAGGUACCCCCAGAGUUACAGCAAUAGACAUUUAGGGGUGAACACCUGCAACCCAGAACCCCAGAUGUGUCUCACAGCCAUCAACAUUCAUUAAGAUGUGAGCUAACACGCAUAACCAAAUCAGAGAGAAGGCUGCAUGGUUCAUCACCAAUUGCCUCAGCUUUAAAUAGAAAUGACGUAACACUAUGAUAAACGGCAUGUAUCAGAGAGGAGACAUGGGGUCUCACAUGUGGCCACAGCUUCACACACUUGAGAGAGGAGACAACAUGAGGUCUCACAUGUGGCAAGUUAGACGAAGAAUUCAGAAAUCUUUCUCCAGGCCAACUGGCAGAACUGAAAGAGGCAUGCAUUUUUUUUUAUAUCUUUUGCAUAAAGGUUUAUUGUGUGUGUUGCUCAUUAUGGUGUUCUUUUGUACCUUAAAUUUUACAUGCUGGUUUUCUCUAUUUUGUAAUGUCUAGUUUUGUCUCCUGCAAACGAAGGGUAAGUAAACUUUCAGGGGGAUCUUAUUUAUAGGCUUAAGGGCUAUAAAAAUAAUGUAUAAAAGUAUCUCAGGCAAACUAAAUUCCUACAGUUACAUAUACAGAGUUUAUCAUUGCUUAGUUAUACUACGCUGAGUUGUAGAUCCCACCUGUACAAGAAUUUAAUUUCAUUUUUUAAAGAGUGUUAAAUUUUUUCAUUUUUUACAGGUACAUUUGGGAGAGCACACAGAAGUAAUGAGUACAUCACAGCAGACCAUUUCAAGUGGAUGUGCACGUGUAGAUGUGGCUUGUCAGACUGACUCUCUAGAAACUGUGAAUGUGACUACACAAACGGAUGAUAUAACAAAAACAUCUGUUGGCACACAGCUGUCCUUAAGAACGCAGAAAGAGUCGCACUUUCGGAGUAAAGGGUCACAGGCAACAGUUAAAUGUGAAACUGUUGGCACAAUAACGACGUCCUUUGAUGUACCAUUUGCCUCAACACCUAUAAAGGCUCUUGGUGUCAGCACAACCAAAAGACCUCAUCUGGAAUUGGAAGAGGAGGAGGUGGAAGAGGAAGACUCAUACAUAGACUUUGAGACAGAACCUUAUGACUCAACUUUUAAACCAGACGACACAACCAUUUCACAGGAAUCAGAAAUGUUGAUUGUGAAAAGGCCCAUGUAUGGAGAUGCAAAAUACAUUGUUUUUGAAACAUGUUUGCGGGAGCUGUUUGCAACGUGUCCAAUUUGCAAAUCAAAGUGUGAUACGGAGCAACACCGCAUGGGCACAUAUGUUGCUUUCAGCCAGAUUUGCCCCAAGUGUAUGUACAACAGGAAGUGGCAGAGCCAGCCAAUUGUUGGAAGUACACCGGUUGGAAACGUCCUCUUAUAAGCAGCCACUUAUUUUACAGGAGGCUCAUUUAUCCAACUACAGAAGGCUGUGCAAUUAAACUUGUUCCAGUAUGACACAUUUCAUCGACAUUGCAGAAGUUUUUUGGAACCAGCAAUUGUUCAUAAGUGGAAAAGUGAGCAGCAAAACAUAAUAGCAAAGUUAAAAAGGGAGGAAAGACUGCUAUUGCUGGAGAUAUGCGUGCAGACUCACCAGGCCAUUCAGCCAAAUUUGGAAGCUACACAGUAAUGGACAUGCAGAGUAAUACAAUUGUGGACCUCCAGCUUGUUCAGAGCAAUGAGGUUGGAGGUAGCUACCAUAUGGAGAAAGAAGGGCUGAAGAGAUGUCUGGAUCUACUGGAGAACAACGGGUUAGAGGUGGAUUACAUUGUCACCGACCGUCAUCCACAGAUCCAGAAGUACCUCAGGGAGCGCAAGAUAACCCAGUUCUACGAUGUAUGGCACUUCGAGAAGGGUUUGUUUAAGAAAUUAAAUAAACUGGGAAAAAACAAGGAGUGUGAAUUGGUGAAGAAGUGGCAACGUAGCAUCAGAAAUCAUGUUUACUGGUGCGCCACUUCCUCUACAUCGGGACCAGAGAAGGUGGCCAAGUGGACUUCGCUGAUUAACCACCUCCAGAAUGUGCACACGCAUGACAAUGCUUUAUUCCCAAGUGUGCACAUCCACUUAGAGCUUCAAAGGACCCAAAGAAAUGGUUUCAACCAGGGUCACAGGCUCUCUUCAAAGUUGAAAGAGUACUGUGCAACAAGAGGGUGCUGAAGGAUGUUGAGAAAUUGAGUCAUCAUUAUCAGACAUCUUCACUUGAGGCUUUCCACAGCCUUAUUCUAAGAUUUACACCAAAAAACGUUGUUUUCCUGUUCAUGGGAAUGCUGUGCAGACUGUACCUUGCAGCGUUUCAUCACAAUGAAAACGCAAACCGUCAACAAGCCACAACCGCUACAGGACAAGCAAUGUACAAAAUGGUGUUGCCAAAAUCAAAAAGAGGGGAAUGGACAACACGGGCAUUAAAAACAGAACCAACCUAUAGAUAUGUUGAGGAGCUACUGAAACUGGUCUUCGAGGUCAUCAUUAUGGACCCCUCUCCAUUUGUGGAUGAAUUGAAGAAAAUUCCCAUUCCCAAGCCCCUUUGUGCAGAAUACGACAGACCAACAAAGGAAGAAGCCAUUGCCCAUCACAAGUCUCGGUUCAGUCAAGAGGGGGUCGGAAGCCAACAUACCGACCAGCCUGAUCUGGAAAUGCCUGCCGUAUCCGGGUUACAACACAGCACGGAAUUACAACACGAACACUCCGACCCAAGUAGCCCCAGCACCAGCUGACAAAACUGCGGUACGCCAGGUAGCGGAACUGCCUAAAAGAAAUAAAGACUUUUUUUUAAAAAUCUGUGUGACAAUUUAUUUUGGGAAUAAAGAUCGUUUGAUUAACAUAUCUGAA